ensembl:lncRNA
CCUCGUGCAACAGUGGUUUUCCUUGAGGUGCCGGAUAGACACUGCCACUGACACUCCUGGGAGUCCUUUGGGAUCCGGGGAUGGCGUGGUGCAUCCCGCAGCGGAGAGGAAGACGGAUGGUUUGACGGAUGGCGACAUUAGUUUCCGGCAGAAGCGGGGUUUGUUGUGCGGACAUGUGGCUGCGCCAGAUCCAUCACCGCUCCCGUGCCCUGUGCUCACACGCUUGCGCCGAGGCUGAGUGCAUCUCUCCCCGGCAGCGCCGCAGACCACAGCCGCUCUCCCUCGGAUGUCUGCUAACUUCCCAGACGCCGAUAGAUUACAAUAAUGACCUGUGUCCCCCAGGUCACAUUGCACGAUCCUCCACAGUGCCCUCCUGGAUGUGA